UGGACUUUCUAAGCGUCAAUGUAAGAAGCUGAAUCACAGCCUCCUCCUAUGGAAAGUGAUAGUUCAUAGAGAUGGCUAUUUUAAGAGUAUCUGUAAAGCCCAGAACUGAAAGUUUCAUUUUACUGGAGUCAGCAGCAGGUGGAAUGAUUGGAAUAGAGAGGGAAAAGAGACAUCCAUGUCAACGACUUCAUCAAGAGCUAGAGCCAUAUUCCUGUAGUCCUCCUAAUGCUCUCUGCCUCUCUGAUGACCACUGGUUUGAAAUGCCAAGUUAUCCACUUCUCCACGGCAAUAUUUAUAUUAUCCUACUGAUGUUAACCAGACCUGCUACUCACAAGUCCUCUCCCAAUCCCGGCCCAAUUUAAGGUUGCUUCUGGUGAAGAGAGUCACUUUGAGAAGGUACUGGGAAUCGUUGUGUAGUUAUUUACUGGAAAGGCAGGGUGAUGGAGAGGCAGUGACACAGAGAAAACAACACUGGCUGCACCUGCCGCAUCACAUCACUCAAUAAAUGGUAGCCCAUAUUAUUAUCA
rnacentral:lncRNA from 1 species